CCUACGGGUGGCAGCAGUGGGGAAUAUUGCACAAUGGGGGAAACCCUGAUGCAGCGACGCCGCGUGAGUGAAGAAGUAUUUCGGUAUGUAAAGCUCUGUCAGCAGGGAAGAAAAUGACGGUACCUGACCAAGAAGCCACGGCUAACUACGUGCCAGCAGCCGCGGUAAUACGUAGGGGGCAAGCGUUAUCCGGAUUUACUGGGUGUAAAGGGAGCGUAGGCGGGAGGGCAAGUCUGGAGUGAAAGGCGGGGGCUCAACCCCCGGACUGCCCUUGAAACUGGCAGGCUGGAGUGCAGGAGAGGUAGGUGGAAUUCGUAGUGUAGCGGUGAAAUGCGUAGAUAUUAGGAGGAACACCAGUGGCGAAGGCGGCUUACUGGACUGUAACUGACGUUGAGGCUCGAAAGCGUGGGGAGCAAACAGGAUUAGAUACCCCUGUAGUC
rnacentral:rRNA from 1 species